UGGAAGUGCUCUCCGUGUGUAGCAUUUCCCUAUAAGGUAAUGAUCCAAUUCGAAGUGUGUAGGAGGAUUUUACGGGCUUAGGGUUUGAAUUGGGUGAUUUUUGGAUGUUUUGAUUCGAUUACCCUAUUUAGGCUUGAAAUUGGACUUAGUGCUAGUUAUGAAAGUUGUAGAGUAGGUUGAGAGGAAGCUGCUGUUUAAAUUUGGUGAGCAUUGGAGGUCGCCGGAAACGGCCUCCGGCCGCCGCUGCCGGCGGAGCCGGCGCCGGCGCCGCCACUGUUUGGAAGAUUUUUAGGUUUUUAAAUGUGGAAUAUUAAGGGGAGUUUAUUGAAGUGAGUUUUGGAAUUUUUGGAUGAGUUUUGGAUAGGUUUAUGAUUUUCCGAAGUUUGGUAUUUUUGGCGGUUAAUUAAUGUAAAAUCCGGCCGUAGGAUUUAAGUCGUAUUCUGUGGGAAGUUGUUUUUACGGCUGCCGGUAUGUUCGGCGAAUUUUGUGCCGUAUUGAGUUAAGAAUGGCGAAUUUGGGCAAUGAUGAGUGUGUGGGAGGCUCACAUUUAAUUUUGCCUAUUUUGUUUAAAUAUUGGAUUUUAGUUGGGAAUUUAAUUAUAUAUUUGUGCCAGGGUUCGAGGAACCUCAUUGGAGUGGCGAUUUGGAUUUCGUCGGGCUUAUGCCUAGAGCAGUGAGUGGACUUUUAUUUGAAAUAAUAUGCAUGCUAUGGUUCAUGAUUGAACAUUUCCUUUUGUUGGAGUUUUGACGUCAAUUAAUUUUGACGCUUUUAUUUCUCUUAGAGAGUUACCGAAAAUGGGAUUUUCGGUGAAUAUAAAUAUGUAUUUAUGAGAGAGUAUGUAUAGAAAAUUCUAGCUAGCCAUAUGUGUCUGUCCACCUUAAUGGCGUAACAUAUAGCCGCAUUAUGGUGUGACGUGAGUGUUGGACGUAAGCGUAGUAGCCCUAUUUGAGUGUUUAAUUCAUAUAGGGGGUAUGGACACAUAUUUAUACACCCGUCUGUCCAUCUUAAUGGCGUAGUGUAGCACCGCAUUAAGGCGUGACGUGAGCGUUGGACGCGAGCGUAGUAGCCCUAUAUAGACCCAUGAAUUUAUAUAGGGAGUAUGGACGUGUGUAAAUACAUACAUAUAUUAUAGAGCCUGAGAGGCUCGACAUUUAUGAGAUAAAAGUUUUAUCGCUUGCAGCAUGCAUUCGAUUUUUCUUGGAAAUUGAUUUGGGGAAACAUAAAUAUUUUAUUCGUUAAUUUAUUUUUGUCCACUCACUCUAACGGUUUUCAAAUGUUUUCCCCUGGGCUCUUCGUUUUAAAAAUGCCCAGUUUGCAGGUUAGCAUAGUUGAGGUUGGGCGUACAUGGAGAAGAGACAUAGUCAAUAGUUUAGCUUCCGCUUAUUUCUAAAUUCCUAGUUCAUUUCCUCUCAAUUAGAAUUGCUCUGAACUGUGAUGGUUGGUUGUGAGAUUAUUCUUUUAAAGUUAGUAAAUA
rnacentral:lncRNA from 1 species